rnacentral:snoRNA from 14 species
UGGACCAGUGAUGAUAGUUACCAAGGUAUGAGAGAGAUGAUGAAUAACAUUUGCUUGAAGCUCAGAAGUCCAA